rnacentral:rRNA from 1 species
CCUACGGGCGGCAGCAGUGGGGAAUAUUGCACAAUGGGGGAAACCCUGAUGCAGCGACGCCGCGUGAGUGAAGAAGUAUUUCGGUAUGUAAAGCUCUAUCAGCAGGGAAGAUAAUGACGGUCCCUGACUAAGCAGCCCCGGCUAACUAGGUGCCAGCAGCCGCGGUAAUACGUAGGGGGCAAGCGUUAUCCGGAUUUACUGGGUGUAAAGGGAGCGGAGAGGGUAGGGCAAGUCAGAUGUGAAAACCCGGGGCUCAACCCCGGGAGUGCAUUUGAAACUGUCCAGCUGGAGUACAGGAGAGGUAAGCGGAAUUCCUAGUGUAGCGGUGAAAUGCAGAGAUAUUAGGAGGAACACCAGUGGCGAAGGCGGCUUACUGGACUGUAACUGACACUGAGGCUCGAAAGCGUGGGGAGCAAACAGGAUUAGAUACCCCUGUAGUC